UCCAGUAAGUACAGUGCACCUACAAUGUGACAGGCUCUUUGUUAUAUGCUGGCAUGACAAUCGGGACAAGACAAGAUCUUUGCUUCAAGACAUCUGUGGUUCUUCUGAAGAGAUGAUUAUAAGCAAGUGCCGUGCCUUUGUUUCAGUCUUGGUAGAGCCUUCAACACAUGGGUAUAUGUUGUGAACCUCCACAGGGAAUUUAGAAGCCAACAUUUCCAGAGCUUUCUUCAUCAUGGAAAGCUUUGUUCUCACAGCCCUUGAGAACACUUCCUAGGAUAUGUGCUCCUGAAUUCCAACUUGGAAAACUUGUUGGAGGCAUGAUAAAGUGAAAAAUGUGGAUCAUGGAAAAGACAUUUGGUGGAAUCUGAAUGAAUCAUCCUGCAAUAAAUGUAACACUUCUGGGUAAACUGUGCCUCUGACAUGCUGGGCUGUAGGCUAAUGUUGGGGAGACAUGUGUCCCUGUGUGACUAAGCCCUUUCUUUUAAUAUAUGUAGUCUCUUGCUGCAAAAUUGGAAAAGCUCAAGUCUGUCCUCCUGCUGCUGAUAAAAGGACAUUUGCCCAUGUCCCUUUUACCAAAAGGUGCCAAAAAGGUGCCCAGCACCAGCAAAGCCAA